rnacentral:rRNA from 1 species
CUAGUUACCAUCAUUAAGUUGGGGACUCUAGCGAGACUGCCAGUGAUAAACUAGGAGGAAGGUGGGGAGUGACGUCAAAUCAUCAUGCCCCUUAUGACCUGGGCUACAAACGUGAUACAAUGGCUGGAACAAAGGGAUGCGAAGCAGUGAUGUGGAGCGAAACCCAUAAAAACAGUCUCAGUUCGGAUUGAAGUCUGCAACUCGACUUCAUGAAGUCGGAAUCGCUAGUAAUCGCGGAUCAGAACGCCGCGGUGAAUACGUUCUCGGGGUUU